rnacentral:lncRNA from 1 species
AUGAAUCCUAUAGAAAGGUUUUUGAGUGCAUUGUUUCUCUUCCUUGUUUUUUCUUCUUGCUUAUCUAUUGACAUCAUAGCUCCAAACCAAUCAAUCAAAGAUGGAGAUGUUCUGGUCUCUAGUGGAUCACAAAGCUAUGAACUCGGGUUCUUUAGCUCAGGCAUCGAUUAUACUCGUCGUUAUGUGGGAAUUUGGUACCGUAAGGUUUCAGAACGAACUGUUGUAUGGGUGGCAAAUAGAGAUAAUCCUAUCAAUGGUACCUCCGGAGUCCUAGCUAUCAACAAACAAGGUAACCUUGUAAUUUAUGAAAAUAACCGAAGUAGUGUUCCUGUUUGGUCUACAAAUGUUGCAGCCUCAUCAAUGACAAAUUGCACGGCUCAGCUCCAGGAUUCAGGAAACUUGGUCUUGGUUCAACAGGAUAGCAAAAGGGUCUUGUGGCAGAGUUUUGAUCAUGCUACAGACACUCUGCUUCCUGGUAUGAAGCUUGGGCUGGACCUGAAAAUCGGUUUGAACCGGUCUCUGUCAUCUUGGAAGUCCAAAGAUGACCCGGGAACCGGAACCAUUGUCCUUGGUAUUGAUCCAAGUGGGUUUCCCCAGUUGUUCCUAUACAAGAGUCAAACCCGAAGGUGGCGUGUCGGACCAUGGACUGGACUAAGAUGGAGCGGAGUGCCCCAAAUGGCCACUACCUACAUCUUCGGUAAUACUUUCGUUAGCAGUGUUGAUGAGGUAUCUUAUUCCUAUAGUAUCAAUAAUCCCUCCUUGAUUUCAAGAAUGGUGGUGAACGAAUCAGGAGUAGUGCAACGGCUGACAUGGAACGAUCCUGAUAAACAAUGGUUCGGAAUUUGGUACGCCCCAAAAGAACCAUGUGACACCUAUGGCCAAUGUGGUCCAAAUAGUAACUGUGACCCAUAUCAAACAAAUAAUUUCAUGUGCAAAUGUCUACGCGGAUUCGAACCCAAGUCACCCCAAGAAUGGUACCUGAGAGACGGGUCAAGAGGUUGUGUCAGGAAACCUAACGUGUCCACGUGUCACGGCGGAGAAGGGUUCGUCAAGCUGGCUCGAGUGAAGGUGCCGGAUACAUCAAUGGCGAGUGCGAACAUGAGUUUGAGAUUGAAAGAAUGUGCGCGAGAGUGCUUGAGGAAUUGUUCUUGUACAGCUUAUGCUAGUGCUGACGAAAGAGGACUUGGAUGCUUGAGAUGGUAUGGUGAUCUGGUUGAUACAAGAACGUUUUCAGAUGUGGGGCAAGAGAUUUACAUCCGUGUGGAUAGAGCUGAAUUAGGUACAUGUCCAAUUCUACUACUACUAACUUAUUUACUUUUCCUUUGUUCACUUGCUAUGCCAUGCACAAGUUUUGAUUCUUGAAGAAAUCUCAUAGACCUGAUAAAUCACAAGGAAUCAGUUUUCUUAUAAUUUAUUAGAAGUAAUUGACUAAUUGUAUGAGCAAUGUUUUUUUUAUUAUUAUUAAUCAGCACGUAAUUUUAUGAAUAGAAUGUUUGAUAAGGGUACGUAGGUCAAUAAAUGUGUUGACGCGAAAUCCAUUGAUCAUUAAUCAGUUAAAUUUCAUCAACUCAAUGAACUCGGAAUUGAUUGUUUUGGUUAAGUAAUCAUAUUAUUAUUUACUAGUAUAAUGAAUUGAGUAGUUUUGUAACACACACAUGCCUAUAUUGCCACUCAUAGAAAUGACUAACAUUUUUUUACUUUCCUUCUAAGAAUAUAUAUUACAAAUUAAACAAUAUACUAAAACCUUUUUCACAGUAAUCCAUUGUGAAUUUCUUUUCUAAUCAUUAAUUUUUUUUCUUUUCAAUUAUAUCAUUUUGUGGCCAAAUUAACUAUCAAUUUCUUAUAAUUUGUUAUGGAGAAACACAGUUGAAAGAAGGAGGCUCAAACUAUAAAACAAGAAAAAAUUACAGUUUUGAUUGAAACUCGCACAAACACAAUCUCUUGAAAAAAUUACAUAUUUUGGUCCCCAUACUUUUUUUUUCCAAACACAAUCCCUUUAUUUUCUUAUGAUUUGGUUUUAGUUGAAAACUUUAUUUUUAUUUUUUUGAAGUCUCUCAUUUUGAGAGAUAAGAAAGAAAAUUGCUGGAAAACAAUGAGAAAAAAAAAUUCAUUAGUUGGCAAUAUUUCGGCCACUAAAAAGAUGAUUAUUGAUUUCAAUAAGUUUUAUUAGAUGAGGAGAUUUUUAUUUACGAGUUUUUCUUCUUUAUCUUACUUAAAAAGUAGAUUGGGGUUGAGAAAUAUUUUUUUCUUUCAAUUUAAUUUUGUAUUUUUAAACGAAUUUUCGGUGUUUUUAGUGGAUUAUUUGGUUUAUUGAUAUCAUAGAGAUAUUUAUUAAGUUUUUUAAGUGAAAAUAUUGAAAAUUAUAUUUUUGAGUCAAAAAAACACCAACCUAAUUUUUUAACUACCUAUUUAUUGGUUGGAAACUCACGUGGUUUGUCUUAAAAAACAAUUACCAACAAAAAAGAAAUAGGCAAGAGCACAGCCGUGGCCAUGCAGGCCUGUGCGUGCGUUUUUUUAGAUUUUGUUUCUUUUUAUUUAAAUAUAAAUUAAUUAAAACAGAUUAAUCCAAUAUAUGUGUGGGGGAUGCCUGACCAUUAGGUUUUAAUUAAGAUUAAUUAAAAUAAAUAAAUUAAAUAAAUAUUUGUGAUCUUUUGUAAUAAAAUAUUAUUUAAUUCUUAUUUGGUUUUCGAAUAAAAUUAUAACAUUUUUUUUAUAUUAGGCGGCGUUCUUUUUCUACAACCCUACAAAAAAAAUUCUUUGGUUUUAUUUAAUUAUUUUUAUAUGCGUGUCUAUUAUUAUUAUCAUUUGACUAAAUAAAAAAUCAAUUCAAAGAAACAAAGUUAUUGAAACAACAAGAUCCAUAGUCCAGAUCAAGUAUAUAUCUUAAAUUACAGUUAUAUUUCAAGUUUUCAAUUUAAUUUUUAAUUAAAUAUUAUUUGAUUUUUUGCUCGGUUUUCAAAUAAAAUUAUAACAUUUUUUCAAUAAUAGUAGUAUUUUAUUGUGUAACCCUUGAAAGCAUUUUUUUUUCUUAGAUGGUAUUCAAUCGUUUUUAAGUGUAUAUUUAUUUUUAUUAUCAUUUGAUGAAAUAAAAAAUUAAUUUUAAAAAAUAAAAUUAUUAAACAUACUCAAAUUAAUGGACUAUAAUAUAAGAUCAUAUAUUUUUAUCUACUUUCAUCUUUUAAUUUUCUAGUUCGGUCUUUAGUUUUUGUUAAUGAUUUGUUUUUUUGUAUUUAUUAGCACAAAUAAUUCUUAAUUUAUUUAAUUAAAUACAUGUAUAAACUUUUCAAUUUACAAUUAAAAAUAUUUUAUAUCAAAAAUAUGUUUAAAACGUCUAUAUAUUCAUGUUUUUUUAUAAAAAAAAAUAUAAUCUGACCAUGGCAAAGCAAGUCAAGUGGCUAGUUUCCCACAAAUUGUACUUGUCUUCAAAAUCCAUGCACUGCAUCGGCGACCAUGUUUAUCAUAAUUUUGUGACAUGGCCAUAAAGCAUCACUAGUUAAGUAUUAAGUAUAAUUUUAAAAUUCCAAUUCUUCAUCUUAUAUAUCAUUAUGGACUCCAAUUGUGUAUUUUUUAAAAAAAUUUACUUUAGUCCUUAAACUAUUGUUUUUGCACUAUUGAGUUUUUUUAACUCAAAUUAGAGUCUAACUGCAUGUUUUAUUUUUGGGUGGGUUGAAUUGAAAAAUAAAUGGCUAAAGUGAAAAAAUGUAAAAUAGAUGGUAGAUCUGCAACUAAUUUAAAAAGUUCAUUUGUGUUCCUUAUCUUUUUAAGCUAUUUGUUAAUUGGCCCUAUAAUUUUUUAAAAAAUACAUUUUGGUGCCAAACCUUAUUUUUCUUUUUUCUUUUUGGAGGAGAGAGAGGGUUGCUAAAUUCUAGUUUAGAGAGAAAAAGUUGGUGUUGAGAAAGAUUUAAACCACUAAAAUGAUCAAUUUUUGUGUCAAAUGAUUCCAUAUAAUGAUAACGGUUACUAUUAGAUGUUCUUUUACCUUAAAAACACCUAAAAAACAUAUGUAAUCUCCGAAAGAUUUUUUUGUUUCAAGUUGAUUUUCGUGUUUUGGACCAGUUCUUUUGUGUUUUUAAAGGCUAUGAAUUGGUUUAACAAGGUUCUUAUAGUGUUUUGUAGAUGUUUUGGGUCAAAAAAACAAAUAACCCUAUUUUUCCGGCCACACCAGUGACCAGAUUCUAGGAUUUAAAUAUGAUGUAUCUUCUAUUUUUUUUCAUAGAAAAAGGGGCAGACAACUAAAUAAAAAACAUAUAGGCUUGCGUGCAGACUUUUUCUUGAUUAGACCAUAUGUUAAGCUUGGCUUACCAGACCUAGCAUAGCCUUGCCUCAUAUCUUUAUUUUUUUUAUAUGUGUUUUUUCAAAUAAUUUUUAUAAUUUUUAACUUUUAAUUAAUACCCCCUUCUUUAUGAUAUUUUUUGGAUUUUUUAGCCUUUCUUGAAUAGUGAUUAUUGUUUUUAAUUAUAUUGGGUGUGUUUAGUUUAUUCAGAGGUUAGUAUGAUUCAUCUGUGAUUUUUUUAUAUAUUUUAUAAAGAUUAAAUAUUUUUUUUAUAAUUAUAUUUUUAAUAUAUGCAACCUUUCAUAAUAUUUUUAUUUUACUUUUAUUUUAUUCAAUAAAUUCUAUGUGUGGGUCAAUCUCUGUUACAAAUUUAUUUUCAUAAACAAACUUAUGAGACACAACAAAGUAAAUGACCCAUGUUGCGAGAUUAAAUAUCUUUAUUUACUUUGAUAUCUUAGUUUUUCCAAUUAUGUUUUUAUUUAUUGUUUAUUAGUUUUUUUUUAAUUUAUUUACACAAUGGUUAGUGUUGUAUUUAAUUAAAUGCGUGCAUAAAUUUUUCGAUUUAUAUUUACGAUUUUGUUUUUGUGAAAAUUUGCAUUGAAAAAUUUGACAUGUUUCAAGUUUAUUUGAUCAUGUACUGGUGAUUUCAAUUUUGAUACUUAUUCUUAUGAUUUUCUUUUCUUUUCCUUAACUUUUUUAUAAGGGUUUUGUUCUUUUUAAAUUCAAUUUUCAAUCCAAGUUGAUAGUGUAUUGUUUUUUUUCUUGUCCUCAUUGAUCAGGUUUUUUAUAUCUAUACUUUCCUAUUUGCUAUCAUUAUAUAUUUUUUUUCAAUAUAAUUCAAAUAAAACCAACUUAUUUAGUUGGUUGAGAUUAAAAUGCAAUUACAACACUCAAAUAUUUUACUAGAAAAAUAAUACAGACUUGCAGCAUAUCGCAAGCACCAAAAACUAGUGUUGACUAAAUAAUAAAAUGCGCUUCAAAACUUGAGAGAAAAAAUCAAUACCCCUGAAUUAAAAAACAAAUAUUGAUUUUAACCUCUAAACAAUAUGAUUUUUUUGAAUUUUUCCUUUCUAAUAGUAUUUUUUUAAGAAGAUUCGACGGAAAAGCUCUUAAAAACCUCUCAGUUCCUCUCUUUCUCUGCUAGUAAACAUGUUUUCCUAAGUUUUUCCUCAAUUUCUCAACAAAAUCCUAACAAAAAGUGCACAUUCAAAAAAUUAUAUUGUUUAGAGCAAAAUGUUUUUUUUAAAAAAAAAAUAAGUUCAAUUGUAUUUUAUUUUAUUUUCACUAGAGUUAGGGGGUGAUUUAUAAUUUAGCGAUAUUUUUGAUUUCUACACCCUUUCCAGUUUCCUUGACACCAUUCCUCUUUUCAUUUGAAUUUUUUGGAAACGCAGGUUGGCCUACGUUUCUAAACUUUAUUUUUAUUAUUUUUAAGUUUUUAAUUUUGAGAGAUAAGAAAAAAAGUUGCUAUAUUUCAGCUACUAAAAAGAUGAUUCUUGAUGUCAACGAGUUUUAUUAGACUAUGAGAGUUCCAUUUAUGUGUAUUUUUCCCUUUAUUUUACUUAAAGAAGUGGAUUGGGGUUCAAAUAAUUUUUUCUUUUGAUUUGAUAUGGUAUUUUUGACAAAUGUUUCGGUGCUUUGAGUGGAUUAGUUGGUUUAUUGAUAUUAUAGGGAUGUUUAUUAUGUUUUCUUAAGUGAAAAUUGGUUGAAAAAUAUAUUUUUGAAUAAAAAAAAAAAACCAACCGGAUUUUUCAACUACUUGUUUGUUGAUUGGAAACUCGUGUCAAAAAAACAAAUAACUUGAUCAUUCCAGCUACACCAAUGACUAGAUUUUAGAAUUUUCUUUCAAAUAAAAAGGGUCGAAUGACUAAAUCCUUUCUAAUAGGAUUUUUUUUAAGAAGAUUUAAUUUUCAACUCAUAUCACUAAACAUUUCUUAUAUUUUCAAUUUCAGCUAAGUAUGAAAAGUCAGGACCUCUUGCCAAUAAAGGAAUACAAGCAAUCCUGAUAGUGUCUGUUGAUGUGCCAUUGUUUCUGAUCAUCCUCCUUGUGUGUUGGUUUGUAAAGAAAAGGAGAAAAGGUAAGCAAAUUCCCUUCAAAUGUUGCUCCUGAGCAAUAUAUAUAUUUUUCGUAACAUUAUUAAACUCAGGGUGUUGAGUCAGUAAAAAUGGGAUGUGAUGCUGAGCUAGAGUUUCAAUAUUUCUGAUAGUCUUGAGCUCAAAAAAAUAUACCUUGAGUUAUAAGUUUUACCCGCUAGAAAUAAGUUUGCAUGUUGAUGACAGCCAGGGACAGGAAAAGAAGAAACGAAUUUCCGCUAUCAUUAACUUCAAGGUCAAAUAGCUGGAGAGACUUACCAAUUAAGGAAUUUGAGGAAGGUACAACAAGUUCAGAUUUACCACUUUUUGAUCUUAGUGUCGUGGCUGCGGCAACAAAUAAUUUCUCAGGUGCCAACAAGCUUGGAGAGGGUGGUUUUGGCUCAGUGUAUAAGGUAGUCUAGCCUGCCUUGAAGUCCCUUAAACACAUAGCAUCACUUCAGUUUACAUGUUGAACUAUGAGAGUGGUGAAUUUGGAUUGCGAUUUUCAGGGUCUGCUGCAUGAUGGAAAGGAAAUUGCGGUCAAAAGACUAGCAAAGUAUUCUGGACAAGGGAUUAAUGAGUUCAGAAAUGAGGUCGAGCUCAUUGCAAAACUUCAGCACAGGAAUCUUGUAAGGAUAUUAGGUUGUUGCAUCCAAGGAAGAGAGAAGAUGUUGAUCUAUGAAUACUUGCCAAAUAAAAGUUUGGACUCUUUUAUUUUCAGUAUGUCAUCAUUCUGUCAAAUUGUCCCUAUAUUGUGCAUUUUUCAGUUUUUCUCAUUCUAUAAAACUUGAAAAAUGAAUACAAGUCUGCAUUGAUUUGAUGAGAUUUAUGCUUCUUCGGGUACAGAUGAACCAAGAAGGUCACAGUUAGAUUGGUCUACUCGCCACAACAUUAUUUGUGGGAUUGCUCGAGGAAUUUUGUAUCUUCAUGAGGACUCCAGAUUACGAAUCAUCCACAGAGAUCUCAAGGCAAGCAAUGUUCUACUAGAUGCCUCAAUGAACCCAAAAAUUUCAGAUUUCGGCAUGGCUAGAAUAUUUGGAGUAGACCAAAUUGAAGCCAACACAAACCGUGUUGUUGGAACGUAGUAAGUUUAUCCUUAUUUAAUGAGUUAUAUUGGAGUGUAAUAUAAGAUUAUUUUUAAAAUUUUAUUGAAUAAUUUAAGUUUUUGAGAUAAAAUAGUUUUUUUUUACAUAAUAUCAUAAUUUUAAUUAUUUUAUAUAAUUAAAUAAUAAAAUUAAAAACUUAUACAAGUUUCAAACUAAGUCAGAAAAUAAUAUAAAAUUAUUUUUAAAAUCUCACCAUAUAUAUUUUUUUUCUGAAUAGCUGACUCUAUUAAGCUCUUCUUUUCCUAUGUUAUUGCAGUGGUUAUAUGUCACCAGAAUAUGCAAUGCAAGGCCUAUUUUCAGUAAAAUCCGAUGUAUAUAGUUUCGGAGUUUUGCUAUUAGAGGUCAUCACUGGGAGAAAAAACAUCAAUUUUUAUGAUGAAAGUAACUCUUCGAACUUGGUUGGAUAUGUAAGUAGUAAGAUCACAUAUACAUAUUUUAUUGAACUUGGUUGGAUAUGUAAGUAGUAUGAUGAAAGUAACUCUUCGAACUUGAUUUUAAAAUUUCAACUCCAACAUAGCAUAUUGAUGUGGAAUUUCUUUAGGUCUGGGAUCUAUGGAGUGAAGGCAGGGCCCUGGAACUAGUGGAUACAUUGAUGGGCGACUCGUAUCCUGAAGAUCAAGUCUUAAGGUGCAUCCAAAUUGGUCUUUUAUGUGUGCAAGAAUCUGCGAUGGACCGACCAUCAAUGUCUAAUGUUGUUUUCAUGUUGAGUAAUGACACAACUCUUCCAUCUCCUAAGCAACCUGCGUUUAUUCUGAAGAAGAGUUACAAUAGUGGAGAUCCAUCAACUAGUGAAGGAUCGCAUUCUAUAAAUGAAGUGACUAUCACCAUGCUUAGACCUCGGUAGAGGCUUACAUAUAUCAGACGUACUGCAUUCAUAUGUUAAUUAAUGUUUGAUACUGUAAUAGUUUUUAUGAUUAUGGUUUAAAAUAUUAAGUUUAAAGUGGAAUUCAAGAAAAAUUAAUUAUAAUGUAUGUUAAUUAACUAAAUAUUUAUAAAACUUUAAUAAAAGUAAAAUAUAGUUUCGAUCACACCAUACUAUUAUACCAAAUGGAUCCUAGUAGAAGUAUCAUGGUAGUGAAAUAUUAUUUAUUACAUUUCUAAGCAUGUGGAACCAAGUAAUGUAGUUAUUCUUUCAUUAACCAACAAUGUAGAUAAAAAUGUCUCAAUAGUCUCUCAAUUUAAUAGUCUCUCAAUUUAAAUCCUCUUCAUUAAGAAUGCUACGUUCUUCACAAAUCUACUCAUUCAACAAUUCAAUUUUAUCAAGGUUAAUGAGAUUUUAAGUAUCUUUUAUUUCGCUUAAAUUCCUACAAAGUACAAACAUAAAAGAAAACAACAUGAUUGUCAUAUAUAUUAAUGAUAAAUUCAAUUUUUGAAAAUAAUAUAUUUACAAAGUAGUUAUAAAAGGUUUAGACAAGAUCUAUUUGCAAUACUAGGUCAGUAAUCCUGCCGAUCGUAAUAUAUUCUUGCGCAAGAACCUGCAUGAAGACCAAAAACAUUUAUUUUUCAUGGAGGGACAAGAUGAGGUAAGGAGAUUAGAUAGUAAGCACAAAAUGAUUGCAUGAAAAAUUAUAAAGUUGUUAUAAUUAUGAGAAACUUAUUGCAUUAAAGCAUUAUUCCUAAAUGUCUUAGUCAAUGUUCAUUGAGACUUGACAUUAAUUAGAGUUAUUGAGAUCGAUGCAUAUUAUGUUUCUUUCUUUAUGAAAGGAAGCAGUUGCUCUCAUAAACUAAGGUAUGAAAGAUGCCUAUAACUAAUAUAUAAGUGCUUAUCACAUGACAUGUACAAUGAACUGACUUGUAAGAGAAUUUUAUAUGGGGAGAUCACUUAUGCCUAUGGAAAGGUUCACGUGAUAAUUAUGUAAGUGAUCUCUAGACUAGAGAUCAUUAAUUUAUCAUAUAUUGAGAGUGUUAUGCUUUGAUCCUGACCACAUAUUAUCCUAAUCAAGGAUAACAGAUAGGCAAAUAUUAUGUAUGACAUAAAAUACUAUAUGAAGGUAUUUAAAUAAUAAAGAGAAGAUUCACCACUCUAGGUGAAUUAGAGAAAAUAAUAUAUAUGUUCUCAAAUAGUAUUAAUUGUGAAAUCCUUGAUCAAGAUGGAAUGAGUUUUGAAAAAAAUUUCAAAAUUUUACUCAAAUAAUUAAUGACUAUAAUGUUGAGAACUAAUAUGAUUUAACAAAGCAGAAUAGUUCAUGUUAUAAUAUCUAAAUCGAAACAUUCAUGAUAAAUUAAUAAUAAUUACACUGAGAAACUAAUCACUGAAAUGUUAAGUCAAACCACUUAUGAUUUUUUUUAACAUUUGAUAGAUCAUUAUAGGUUAUUAAACAUUGUAUUUUAUUUUUAAAUAUAACUCAAUUAAUUUUUAAAGUGAUAAUAAAUUAAAUUGUAUAAUUUAAUUAAUCUUGUUUUAUUUUGGUCUGCACCUACUGACCAGUGUGACAAUUAUGGACGAUGUGGAGCUUAUGGUAAGUGUGAUCCUUAUGAUGCUUAUGACUUUGAGUGUACGUGCCUCCCUGGCUAACAGCCCAAAUCAAUUACUGAUUGGUACCUCAGAGAUGGGUCAGGUGGAUGCAUCCAGAAGAAUCUCACAGGAAUGUGCAACAAUGGUGAAGGGUUCGUCAAGGUGGAAAACGUGAAGGUACCAGAUCCUUCAACUGCCCGUGUGGAUAACAAUUUGGAUCUGAAAGCUUGCAUGGAGCAAUGCUUGAGGAAUUGUUCCUGCACAGCCUACGCAAGUUCAGUUGUGACAAGUAAGAGUGGGUGCUUCUCAUGGUAUGGCAAUUUGCUUGAUACAAGAGUGUUCGCUGAGGGAGGACAGGAUUUAUAUGUCCGUGUGGAUGCGUUUGAGUUAGGUACCUUCAAAUCUUAUUGUCAUUAUAUAUCUUUGCUGCAUUUUCAACAACAGCUUAAUCUUCAAUAUGUCUUAGAUACAGGAUUUUCAGAACAAAAAUAUAGACAUCUGAAAUAAAAAUUAUGGGUACAAGUACAACGGAAGUACCAGAGACAUUUCUAAUAUGGCUAAGCCCUCCCCUGCACUCACCUACUAUCUUUCUGCGAUAUGCACCAUUACUGAUAAUCCUGAUGAUUUGGUAUCAAGCUAAUGUGGAUUUCUUUCUUUCUCCAGCUCAAUAUGACAAGAAGUCUAGAGGUUUUCUUUCAAAGAAAGGGAUGUUAGCCGGUUUGGUACUCUCUAUAGCUGCUGGGGUUUUCUUUGUCAUUAUGUUCUCAUUCUGGUUGAAAAAAAGGAAGAAGACGGGUAAGAGAUUAUUUUUUCAACCUUGUUACCAAUAUAAGUGACACCAAGUUAGUUGAACUAAAGAAUUCCAACUUUAAGUCUAUGCAUAUAGGAGAUGAUAGUCUGCAAAAUGCAGUGUGUAAUCAACAUUAGCACUUGUUAGUACUUUUAAAAGCUGAUUAUUGAGUUCUUUCAACGAUAAACACAGCUAAGGGCAGACAACUCAAAUUUCCCUUCAAUAUCCCUACAAGCCUCAAUGGCUCUCUAAGUGGAAAGGAAGUUGGUGGAAGUACAAGUCAAUACCUACCAGUCUUCGACAUAGAUAUCAUAUUAGCAGCCACAGAGAAUUUCUCCAACGAGCUUGGAUAUGGCAGUUUUGGCUCAGUUUACAAGGUUCUUUUCCUUGGAAUUUCUUUAGGUUUGGGAUCUAUGGAGAGAAGGCAGGGCCCUGGAACUAGUGGAUACAUUGAUGGGCGACUCGUAUCCUGAAGAUCAAGUCUUAAGGUGCAUCCAAAUUGGUCUUUUAUGUGUGCAUGAAUCUGCGAUGGACCGACCAUCAAUGUCUAAUGUUGUUUUCAUGUUGAGUAAUGACACAACUCUUCCAUCUCCUAAGCAACCUGCGUUUAUUCAGAAGAAGAGUUACAAUAGUGGAGAUCCAUCAACUAGUGAAGGAUCGCAUUCUAUAAAUGAAGUGACUAUCACUAGUGGCGGAGCCACAGUGGGAAUGGGUCAAAAGGGAGCAAUUGCCCCCUCAAUUUUUUUUUCAAUUUUUUUUUAAAUAUUAAUAUAUUAGUGAGAGUGAAUUAUUGCUACAGCCUACAGGUAAGGAAAGUUUUUAACUUUUAUUAUUGUUGACUAACUUGACUUAUAUGUUAAUACAAUUUAAUAUAUAUAUAUAUAUAUAUAUAUAUAUAUAUAUAUAUAAUUACAACUCCCCAACUUUUCCCAUUUUCCCUUUUGUUUCUCUUGUCUAACAAAACAAAGAGGGUUUUUUUUCAGCUGUCGUUCUUUCCUCUCCUUGUCUCCUGAAUGUAAAUUUCUCAUCGAUUAAUUUUUUUUGCCUUUUACUUUAUACUUUACGUAAAAAAAUUUUAUCUUUUCUAUUUAUUUUAUUGUCUAAUUUUAGUUUUAUUUUUUUAUAAUUAGUUAUUAAAAAUAUUAGGGUUUAUGAUAAUUUAGGGGUUUUGUUAUAAAUAUGUUCAAAAUAAAUGUUUAAAUUUGCUAAUUUAAUCAAUUAAAUGUUUCUUUUCUUAUUAUAAAGAAAUAAAUUAAUAUUCAUGCAAAACCACUAUUCUUGACAUCUCUUGCAUUGAUAGAGUAGUUUAUUGAAAUUUAAUAUUUUCACAUGAUUUGUUUGUAAGUAAAAUAUCAAGUAGAAAACAUGUUUUUCAAGCAUUGUUCCUCUUACACAUACACUAGGCAUUGUUCCUUAAUUAAAUGUCUAGAAAUGAUUAAGCAUAACUUAAUCAACAUACUUAUUAUAUGCAUAUAGAUAUGAAUUGAAAUAGGUUUUGAUUUUGAUGAAUUGACGUGUAUUUUGCUAUUAAUUUUAUAUGAAAGAUUUAGAAUUAUUGUGUAACUCAACUGACUUUUGUUUGACAGUGAAUUAUUGUGUAGUUGUGUUAAUUAUUAUGUAGACACUAAUGAUAAAAAAAAUCCAGCAGGUUCAUAUUAAAUUAACAUGUCACUAGAAAAAUAUUUCAAGCGUAAAUCUAUUGAGGAUAAAGAGUCAAUCAAAGCUUCAAGUCAUGUAACUCAAUCAAGUUCAAAGAAAAGUCAUAUUGAAAUCAACCCCGACACUCUCCUUGUUGACCCUGGCUUAAGAAGACCAAUUUAUGAGUACCAUGUAAAUGAUAGGGAUACAAUCCGAAGAGCUUAUCUACAAAAAGGUCCUUAUCAACCUUCACACUAUGAUUUUCCAUAUAUGUUUGAAUUGAUUUCUAAUGCAUGUCUAUAUAAUAUAGUAUUUGUUAAUAAUUUGCCCCCUCAUUUAAAAAACUUUGGCUCUACCACUGAAGUCUAUCACCAUGCCUGGACCACGGUAGAGGCUUAUAUAUAUCAGACGUACUGCAUUCAUAUGUUAAUUAAUGUUUGAUACUGUAAUAGUUUUUAUGAUUAUGGUUUAAAAUAUUAAGUUUAAAGUGGAAUUCAAGAAAAAUUAAUUAUAAUGUAUGUUAAUUAACUAAAUAUUUGUAAAACUUUAAUAAAAGUAAAAUACAGUUUCGAUCACACCAUACUGUUAUACCAAGUGGAUCCUAGUAGAAGUAUCAUGGUAGUGAAAUAUUAUUUAUUACAUUUCUAAGCAUGUGGAACCAGGUAGUGUAGUUAUUCUUUCAUUAACCGACAAUGUAGAUAAAGAUGUCUCAAAAGUCUCUCAAUUUAAAUCCUCUUCAUUAAGAAUGCUACGUUCUUCACAAAUCUACUCAUUCAACAAUUCAAUUUUAUCAAGGCUAAUGAGAUUUUAAGUAUCCUUUAUUUCACUCAAAUUCCUACAAAGUACAAACAUAAAAGAAAACAACAUGAUUGUCAUAUAUAUUAAUGAUAAAUUCAAUUUUUGAAAAUAAUAUAUUUACAAAGUAGUUAUAAAAGGUUUAGACAAGAUCUAUUUGCAAUACUAGGUCAGUAAUCCUGCCAAUCUUAAUAUAUUCUUGCGCAAGAACAUGCAUGAAGACCAAAAACAUUCAUUUUCCAUGGAGAGAUAAGAUGAGGUAAGGAGAUUAGAUAGUAAGUACAAAAUGACUGCAUGAAAAAUUAUAAAGUUGUUAUAAUUAUGAGAAACCUAUUGCAUUAAAGCAUUAUUCCUAAAUGUCUUAGUCAAUGUUCUAUUAAGACUUGACAUUAAUUAGAGUUGUUGAGAUCGAUGCAUAUUAUGUUUCUUUUUUUUAUGAAAGGAAGCAGUUGCUCUCAUAAACUAAGGUAUGAGAGAUGCCUAUAACUAAUAUAUAGAUACUUGUCACAUGACAUGUAUACUGAACUGAUUUGCAAGAGAAUUUUAUAUAGGGAGAUCACUUAUGUCUAUGGAAAGGUUCACGUGAUAGUUAUGUAAGUAAUCUUUAAACUUGAGAUCACUAAUUUAUCUUAUAUAGAGAGUUUUAUGUUUUGAUCAUAACCACACGUUAUCCUAAUCAAGGAUAAUAAACAGGCAAAUAUUGGGUAUGACAUAAACUAUAUAAAGGUAUUUAAGUAAUAAAGAGAUGAUUCAUCACUCUAGGUGAAUUAGAGAAAAUAUUACAUAUGUUCUCAAAUAGUAUUGAUUGUGAAACCCUUGACAAAGGUAGAAGAGUUUUGAAAAGAGUUUCAAAAUCUUACUCAAAGAAUUAAUGACUAUAAUAUUGAGAAUUAACAUGAAUUAACAAAGUUGAAUACUUCAUUCUAUAAUGUCUAAAUCGAAACAUUCAUGAUAAAUUAAUAAUAAUUACACUAAGAAACUAGUCACUGAAAGGUUAAGUCAAACCACUUAUAACUUUUUUUUAACUUUUGGUGGAUCAUGAUAUGUUGUUAAACAUUGUACUUGAUCUUCAAAUAUAAGUCAAUCAAUUUUUGAAUUGGUAAUAAAUUAAAUUGUUUAAUUUAAUUAAUCUUGUUUUAUUUUUUAUUAUUAUUUAUAUUUUGACCAACUUAUUAGGGGAUCUAAUAGGUCACACACAUAAAAAGCAUUGGUCAAAAAUUAAAAUAGAAUGACUAAUCAAAUGUGACUUAAUUGUAAAUAAAUUUUAAAGAUUAAGGAAUAGAAUGUAAUUAAUAUAGGAGAUUACAAUUCUAGACCUAUAAACAAUCAAGUAAGGACUUGAUUGAAUAAAUUUCUAAAACUAACCUAAAAUAAUAUAUGUGAUAUUAUUUAAGGGACAAAAUUAUACUAUGUCAUUUAUAGGGUUUUGAGGUUUUCAUAUAAAUAGAAAGUUAUGUUUUUUAUUUUUUAUGAGUAGAGUGGAGUACAGAGACACCUCAAACACAAAAGAAAAGAGUUAGCACUCAAAGGUAUAGCAAUCUCUCUCUCCUAAAAGGGUUUAAAAGAUUUCUCAUUGAUGGUUCGUAUAGAUUAAUGUUAGAGGCUGGACAAUUGGACAGUUUAUGGUUUGCAACAACACGACCUUAAAAAAAUUAUUUAAAAUUAAAAAGAAUAUUUGAUCUUCAAGUAAUCUUCGUAUAAAACCUAAACAACUCUAUAUUUGUUUAACGAUAUAUUUGAAAUUCUUAAAAAAAAUUAAAUUUAUUAUUUAUAUUGUGUAUUCGUAUUUCGGGAAAUCUAGUUGCAUUUCAUUGUGUCAUACAUAUUUGAAACGGUUAUAGCAGGAAAUUGAAAACUAUUAGGGAAUGUAUAGAGCCACAUAGGUGCUAUAUGUGUCAGGAUUAUCUCGCAUCAAAUAUUUUUUCAAGAAUCAGUAACAUUUUCUAAAUUUAUAAAAUUUAUAAGUAGCAGAACCUGAUUAAAUUAUUUUCGUGUAAAAUAUCACGAUCUUGCCUUCACUUUUAAGUUCUAACCAUGGUUGUAAGAUUGAUUUGAGGCAAGAUUAACUUGUUCAACUCUAUUUUUUUUAAGAAAAAAAAGUUAAUGGGAUGAUGGUCAGAUUUUUUACCGGGUAAAGUUUGGGUCACCCGUGUUAAUAGAUUAAUUCAAGUGUUUAAUCAAUUAACCAAGUUUUUUUUAACUCGAAGUAGUCCAGCUCUAGGUUCUUCAAUUUUCGGACCGUGGGUCAUACAACCAUGUUUAUUACCCCUUUAAAAAAUAGAAAAGGAGAAAUAAAUAAAAGAAAAACAAAGAGAAAAUCAUACCAAUAGGCUCACUCUUGAUAAGCAAGAUACCAGGAAAUUAUGUUACCUUUUCUAUUAGCCAACUAGCCUUCGUGCAGUUCUUACUAAGAAAUUCUAACUUAAGGUGGUGUUACAGUGGUAAGAGUUUGAGACUAAGAGGUUUGCUCCCUCUUAGGUCUCAGGUUCGAACCCUGUGGACGCUCAUAUGAUGGUCACUGGAGGCUUACAUGGUCGUUAACUUCAGGGCCCGUGGGAUUAGUCGAGGUGCACGCAAGCUGGCCCGGACACCCACGAUAAUCAAAAUAUAUAUAUAUAUAUAUAUAUAUAUAUAUAUAUAUAUAUAUAUAUAUAUAUAUAUAUAUAUCUCUUAUGAAAUGAUAAAUUCUCAUGCUCCCCUUUCAAAAUAUAAUAUCACUUGGUAGGAAGUUCGACAUGAGAAUUCUUAAAUGUUAUUUUAAAACAUAACCAGUAGUUUAUAGGAAGUUCGACAUGAGAAUUCUUAAAUUCUUAAAUGAUAACUCGUAAAUGGUUUAAAACUUUAUACGAGUAGUUUCAUUUAAUCUAAAAUAAAGUUUUUUUUGGUAAUAACAUGAGCAUGUUGAAAUGGAAGUAACUAAAAAUUUGAUGUUUAUCCAGGUUUAUUUGAUUUUAUAUAUGUUUUUUUAUUUUACUUUCUAUGAUUUUUUUAUUAUUUAAAAUUUGAAUUUUGUUUUUUUAAUUAUUGUUUAUUUUAUUUAGGAUUAUUUUAAAUUUUCUCAUUAAAUUGCAUCUUUUUUUUUCUAUCGAAUUUCAUUAAUGUUUUAUAAAAUAUUUUACGUUGUGUGUAUCUCGAUCACUCGUGAUUUAACGAACUAAAACUUGACAAGAUAUUUCUUUUAAUCCGCAAUCAGCUCAAAAGAGGUGUGCAAACUUGGGACCAAAAAAUUCUCACCAGAAACUAUACACGUAUGGGCCUAUGGCCUUUCAAUUCAAGUGAUCAUUUAAUACAUGGCUGGCUCCACUGUGCAGCCCUAAUAAUCGGCCAAAAAAAAUCUAUGAAGUAGGUGGCUUUUUGGCCCCGCUCAUUAAAACCCCGACUGCACUACCAGGCCAUCUACUCACCUCACCAACACACAAUCAUAGAAACAAAUUAUGAAUCCUGUAGAAAGGUUUUUGAGUACAUUGUUUCUCUUCCUUGUUUUUCCUUCUUGCUUAUCUAUUGACAUCAUAGCUCCAAACCAAUCAAUCAAAGAUGGAGAUGUUCUGGUCUCUAGUGGACAAAGCUAUGAACUCGGGUUCUUUAGCUCAGGCAUCGAUUCUACUCGUCGUUAUGUGGGAAUUUGGUACCGUAAGGUUUUAGAACGAACUGUUGUAUGGGUGGCAAAU